rnacentral:rRNA from 1 species
CGGACCGGCGCACGGGUGAGUAACGCGUACGCAACUUACCUAUCAGGAGGGGAUAACCCGGCGAAAGUCGGACUAAUACCGCAUGAAGCAGGGGCCCCGCAUGGGGAUAUUUGCUAAAGAUUCAUCGCUGAUAGAUAGGCAUGCGUUCCAUUAGGCAGUUGGCGGGGUAACGGCCCACCAAACCGACGAUGGAUAGGGGUUCUGAGAGGAAGGUCCCCCACAUUGGUACUGAGACACGGACCAA